rnacentral:other from 1 species
UUCAAUCUGCUUAAUUCGCGGACUGCGUUCAUAUAACCCUACAUUAUUAAAUCGGGAGCUCGGGUCCUGUAUUUGAUUGCAGACCUCUUGGCAUCGGCCAAACGAAGGGAGCGUGAAGAUAUGGGCAGGGCACCCACCUGCACGAAAUGCAGGUUAUUCAGAGCGCGAUACGAUUGAGCGGAUUUUUU